rnacentral:lncRNA from 1 species
UGAUUACUGAGCUGACUCUAGACUUGCGAUUUUCUGAUUUCUGAUCUCAUCUCAACCAACUGAAAUCCUGUACACUCUGCUUUGCACCGAUUAAAAAGAAACUAUCUAACUGAUCUGCUGAAACUGGGAAUCUCUGGUCAAGAUCUGAUAUAACUCUGGCACUGAUCUUGGUAACUGCAAUCACUGACUACUGUACUGUCUUUGGCCUGAAAUCUUCU